AUUGAACGCUGGCGGCAGGCCUAACACAUGCAAGUCGAGCGGAGCGGCGGACGGGUGAGUAAUGCCUAGGAAUCUGCCUGGUAGCGGGGGAUAACUUCCGGAAACGGGCGCUAAUACCGCAUACUAUCAGAUGAGCCUAGGUCGGAUUAGCUAGUUGGUGGGGUAAAGGCUUACCAAGGCGCCGAUCCGUAGCUGGUGUGAGAGGAUGAUCAGUCACUCUAGGACUGAGACACGGUCCAGACUCCUACGGGAGGCAGCAGUGGGGAAUUUUGGACAAAGGGGGAAAGCCUGAUCCAGCCAUGCCGCGUGUGGUAAGAAGGUCUUCGGAUUGUAAAGCACUUUAGGUAGGGAAGCGUUACCAGCAGAAUAAGCACCGGCUAACUUCAUGCCAGCCGCCGCGGAAAUAC
rnacentral:rRNA from 1 species